AUUGAACGCUGGCGGCAGGCCUAACACAUGCAAGUCGAACGAGUGGCGGACGGGUGAGCAAUGUCUGGGAAACUGCCUGCUGGAGGGGGAUAACUACUGGAAACGGUAGCUAAUACCGCAUACCCUACUAUGUGCCCAGAUGGGAUUAGCUAGUAGGUGGGGUAAAGGCGCACCUAGGCGACGAUCCCUAGCUGGUCUGCGAGGAUGACCAGCCACACUGGAACUGAGACACGGUCCAGAGUCCUACGGGAGGCAGCAGUGGGGAAUAUUGCACAAUGGGCGCAAGCCUGAUGCAGCCAUGCCGCGUGUAUGAAGAAGGCCUUCGGGUUGUAAAGUACGUUCAGCGUGGAGGCGUUACCCGCAGAAGAAGCACCGGCUAACUCCGUGCCAGCCGCCGCGGUAAUAC
rnacentral:rRNA from 1 species